GACGAACGCUGGCGGCGUGCUUAACACAUGCAAGUCGAACGGAAAGGCCCUGCUUUUGUGGGGUGCUCGAGUGGCGAACGGGUGAGUAACACGUGAGUAACCUGCCCUUGACUUUGGGAUAACUUCAGGAAACUGGGGCUAAUACCGGAUAGGAGCUCCUGCUGCAUGGUGGGGGUUGGAAAGUUUCGGCGGUUGGGGAUGGACUGGCGGCUUAUCAGCUUGUUGGUGGGGUAGUGGCUUACCAAGGCUUUGACGGGUAGCCGGCCUGAGAGGGUGACCGGCCACAUUGGGACUGAGAUACGGCCCAGACGCCUACGGGAGGCAGCAGUGGGGAAUAUUGCACAAUGGGCGGAAGCCUGAUGCAGCAACGCCGCGUGCGGGAUGACGGCCUUCGCGUUGUAAACCGCUUUCGCCUGUGACGAAGCGUGAGUGACGGUAAUGGGUAAAGAAGCACCGGCUAACUACGUG
rnacentral:rRNA from 1 species